UUAAGUUAGAAAGGGCGCACGGUGGAUGCCUUGACACUAGGAGUCGAUGAAGGACGGGACUAACGCCGAUAUGCUUCGGGGAGCUGUAAGUAAGCUUUGAUCCGAAGAUUUCCGAAUGGGGAAACCCACCAUACGUAAUGGUAUGGUAUCCUUAUCUGAAUACAUAGGGUAAGGAAGACAGACCCAGGGAACUGAAACAUCUAAGUACCUGGAGGAAGAGAAAGCAAAUGCGAUUUCCUGAGUAGCGGCGAGCGAAACGGAACAUAGCCCAAACCAAGAGGCUUGCCUCUUGGGGUUGUAGGACAUUCUAUACGGAGUUACAAAGGAACGAGGUAGACGAAGCGACCUGGAAAGGUCCGUCGUAGAGGGUAACAACCCCGUAGUCGAAACUUCGUUCUCUCUUGAAUGUAUCCUGAGUACGGCGGAACACGUGAAAUUCCGUCGGAAUCUGGGAGGACCAUCUCCCAAGGCUAAAUACUCCCUAGUGAUCGAUAGUGAACCAGUACCGUGAGGGAAAGGUGAAAAGCACCCCGGAAGGGGAGUGAAAGAGAUCCUGAAACCGUGUGCCUACAAAUAGUCAGAGCCCGUUAACGGGUGAUGGCGUGCCUUUUGUAGAAUGAACCGGCGAGUUACGAUCCCGUGCGAGGUUAAGCUGAAGAGGCGGAGCCGCAGCGAAAGCGAGUCUGAAUAGGGCGUUUAGUACGUGGUCGUAGACCCGAAACCAGGUGAUCUACCCAUGUCCAGGGUGAAGUUCAGGUAACACUGAAUGGAGGCCCGAACCCACGCACGUUGAAAAGUGCGGGGAUGAGGUGUGGGUAGCGGAGAAAUUCCAAUCGAACCUGGAGAUAGCUGGUUCUCCCCGAAAUAGCUUUAGGGCUAGCCUUAAGUGUAAGAGUCUUGGAGGUAGAGCACUGAUUGGACUAGGGGUCCUCAUCGGAUUACCGAAUUCAGUCAAACUCCGAAUGCCAAUGACUUAUCCUUAGGAGUCAGACUGCGAGUGAUAAGAUCCGUAGUCAAAAGGGAAACAGCCCAGACCGCCAGCUAAGGUCCCAAAGUGUGUAUUAAGUGGAAAAGGAUGUGGAGUUGCUUAGACAACUAGGAUGUUGGCUUAGAAGCAGCCACCAUUUAAAGAGUGCGUAAUAGCUCACUAGUCGAGUGACUCUGCGCCGAAAAUGUACCGGGGCUAAAUACACCACCGAAGCUGCGGAUUGAUACCAAUGGUAUCAGUGGUAGGGGAGCGUUCUAAGGACAGUGAAGUCAGACCGGAAGGACUGGUGGAGUGCUUAGAAGUGAGAAUGCCGGUAUGAGUAGCGAAAGACGGGUGAGAAUCCCGUCCACCGAAUGCCUAAGGUUUCCUGAGGAAGGCUCGUCCGCUCAGGGUUAGUCAGGACCUAAGCCGAGGCCGACAGGCGUAGGCGAUGGACAACAGGUUGAUAUUCCUGUACCACCUCUUUAUCGUUUGAGCAAUGGAGGGACGCAGAAGGAUAGAAGAAGCGUGCGAUUGGUUGUGCACGUCCAAGCAGUUAGGCUGAUAAGUAGGCAAAUCCGCUUAUCGUAAAGGCUGAGCUGUGAUGGGGAAGCUCCUUAUGGAGCGAAGUCUUUGAUUCCCCGCUGCCAAGAAAAGCUUCUAGCGAGAUAAAAGGUGCCUGUACCGCAAACCGACACAGGUAGGCGAGGAGAGAAUCCUAAGGUGUGCGAGAGAACUCUGGUUAAGGAACUCGGCAAAAUGACCCCGUAACUUCGGGAGAAGGGGUGCUUUCUUAACGGAAAGCCGCAGUGAAUAGGCCCAAGCGACUGUUUAGCAAAAACACAGCUCUCUGCGAAGCCGUAAGGCGAAGUAUAGGGGGUGACACCUGCCCGGUGCUGGAAGGUUAAGGAGAGGGGUUAGCGUAAGCGAAGCUCUGAACUGAAGCCCCAGUAAACGGCGGCCGUAACUAUAACGGUCCUAAGGUAGCGAAAUUCCUUGUCGGGUAAGUUCCGACCCGCACGAAAGG
rnacentral:rRNA from 1 species